rnacentral:rRNA from 1 species
GACGAACGCUGGCGGCGUGCUUAACACAUGCAAGUCGAACGGUAAGGCUCCAGCUUGCUGGGGUACACGAGUGGCGAACGGGUGAGUAACACGUGGGUGACCUGCCCUGCACUUCGGGAUAAGCCUGGGAAACUGGGUCUAAUACCGGAUAGGACCGCACCGUGAGGGUGUGGUGGAAAGUUUUUUCGGUGUGGGAUGGGCCCGCGGCCUAUCAGCUUGUUGGUGGGGUAAUGGCCUACCAAGGCGGCGACGGGUAGCCGGCCUGAGAGGGUGGACGGCCACAUUGGGACUGAGACACGGCCCAGACUCCUACGGGAGGCAGCAGUGGGGAAUAUUGCACAAUGGGCGGAAGCCUGAUGCAGCGACGCCGCGUGGGGGAUGACGGCCUUCGGGUUGUAAACUCCUUUCACCAUCGACGAAGGGUUUCUGACGGUAGAUGGAGAAGAAGCACCGGCUAACUACAUGCCAGCAGCCGCGGUAAUACGUAGGGUGCGAGCGUUGUCCGGAAUUACUGGGCGUAAAGAGCUCGUAGGUGGUUUGUCGCGUCGUCUGUGAAAUUCCGGGGCUUAACUCCGGGCGUGCAGGCGAUACGGGCAUAACUUGAGUACUGUAGGGGAGACUGGAAUUCCUGGUGUAGCGGUGAAAUGCGCAGAUAUCAGGAGGAACACCGGUGGCGAAGGCGGGUCUCUGGGCAGUAACUGACGCUGAGGAGCGAAAGCAUGGGGAGCGAACAGGAUUAGAUACCCUGGUAGUCCAUGCCGUAAACGGUGGGCGCUAGGUGUGGGUUUCCUUCCACGGGAUCCGUGCCGUAGCUAACGCAUUAAGCGCCCCGCCUGGGGAGUACGGCCGCAAGGCUAAAACUCAAAGGAAUUGACGGGGGCCCGCACAAGCGGCGGAGCAUGUGGAUUAAUUCGAUGCAACGCGAAGAACCUUACCUGGGCUUGACAUAUACAGGAUCGCGCCAGAGAUGGUGUUUCCCUUGUGGCUUGUAUACAGGUGGUGCAUGGUUGUCGUCAGCUCGUGUCGUGAGAUGUUGGGUUAAGUCCCGCAACGAGCGCAACCCUUGUCUUAUGUUGCCAGCACGUUGUGGUGGGGACUCGUAAGAAACUGCCGGGGUUAACUCGGAGGAAGGUGGGGAUGACGUCAAAUCAUCAUGCCCCUUAUGUCCAGGGCUUCACACAUGCUACAAUGGUCGGUACAGUGGGUUGCCAGUCCGUGAGGGCGAGCUAAUCCCGCAAAGCCGGUCUCAGUUCGGAUCGGGGUCUGCAACUCGACCCCGUGAAGUCGGAGUCGCUAGUAAUCGCAGAUCAGCAACGCUGCGGUGAAUACGUUCCCGGGCCU